rnacentral:rRNA from 1 species
CGUCCAGACUCCUACGGGAGGCAGCAGUGAGGAAUAUUGGUCAAUGGCCGAGAGGCUGAACCGGCCAAGUCGCGUGAGGGAAGACGGCCCUACGGGUUGUAAACCUCUUUUGUCGGGGAGCAAAGCGAGUCACGUGUGACUCAUUGAGAGUACCCGAAGAAAAAGCAUCGGCUAACUCCGUGCCAGCAGCCGCGGUAAUACGGAGGAUGCGAGCGUUAAUCGGAAUUACUGGGCGUAAAGGGUGUGCAGGCGGUUUUGCAAGAUGGAUGUGAAAGCCCCGGGCUUAACCUGGGAAAGCCAUACAUGACUGCAAGACUAGAGUGCGUCAGAGGGGGGUGGAAUUCCAAGUGUAGCAGUGAAAUGCGUAGAUAUUUGGAAGGACACCGAUGGCGAAGGCAGCCCCCUGGGACGCAACUGACGCUCAUACACGAAAGCGUGGGGAGCAAACAGGAUUAGAUACCCGCGUA